UUCUAUACUCUUCAUUCGUUAGAUCCGCGAACCGGGUCAACCCUAAUCUAUAUGUCGAAUUCAAACCGUUAUGUUCAUCAAUGAAUUUAAGGUUGUCUUUGAAGAUCUCAAACCUUUUGUCUUUCUCUCCUAAACCGUUGUAGGAUUUUCCAUGUUUCACUAACCACUCUUCGUACAUAGUCAACACUUCUUUGUUGGUUCUUUUGCUUGUUGAUUUGUCUGGGUGGGUUUUGUCGUAGGAGAUGAUCGACAUGUCUAAGGCUAGUGAAACUGUGAAGGAGGAUAUGAUGAGAACGAU
rnacentral:lncRNA from 1 species